GGCCGGAUGGUCUGAUUGUUAAGACGUCCCUGCCGGAUAGUCGGGAAGGCUUAGGUUCAAUUCCUAGUCCCGCCA